AUAAUCCAAGAAUAUAUCUUAUUGGUACCCUGAUGUCAAAGAUAGCAUUAAACUCAAGAACUCAGAUGAAAUUGUGUGGACAUGAUAGCAACAAUAGUCAUUCUCAGGAUUUCCAUAGGAUUUCCUUCUUUCUUUGAAAUGAGAGUAAAUAAGAUUACCAACUUAGAUAACCCAUAAUAUCCCUAAAAUUACUAUAGGAGGGAGGUCUCCUGAAAAUGAGGAAUGCAUUUUAUAACAGGUAGGAUGGAAGCUUGUAUCUAUUUUGUUUGAACAGCUUCUGUUAAAAAAGAGUAGCUAAUGUAAGAUCAAUAUUUCUACCCAGAAAAACAAAGAAAGUUAGACAACACACACACACACAACUACCACCACCACCAAUAACAACAACAACAAACAACAAACAAGCUGUUUGAAGACAUGGGAAAGAAGUAAAGCAGCCAGACCAAAGGGACCAAGACCCCAAGAAGAAGGGACAUAUGUUAUGAAGAGGUCAAGUGAGGACACAGUAAGGAAGCAGCUAUGUGCAACCCAGGGAGAAAGUCCUCAUCAGAAACCAACCAUGUUGGCACCCUGAUCUAAGGCUUUCAGCUGGCAGAACUAGGAUCAAGUAAAUUUCUGCUGUUCAAGACACCCAUCCUAUGGUAUUUUAUUAUGGAAUCCCAAGAAAAUGAAGACAUCAUCCAAGCACAUCUGGCCACCUUACUUUACUUUUUCUCAGAUUUUGAAGCAUCCUUGGAAGUUGCAAAUACUUCAAAAGGUAACUCACCUUGGAACUAUAAACCUUGCAAAUACCAUCACAUAUUGCUGUAUUUGAAGAGGGACGUUAAAACAAAGGAGUGUUUUGUUUUAAUAUGGGAGAUACUAUAAAAUUGGAUGAUGGAAAUAAUUCCAUAGAGAGGCUCAGUAAAAUUUCAACUUCAGUUUUAAAAGUAUCACUAAAAUGCAAAUUCCUUUUAAAAUUACAGAGAGAUACCACAACAUAUUACAAUGGCCAAAAUCUGGAACAUUGACCACACCAAAUGCUGACAAGAAUGUAGAACAACAGGGACUCUCAUACAUUACUGGUGGAGAUACAAAAUGGCACAGCCAC